rnacentral:rRNA from 1 species
CGGACGGGUGAGUAAUGCCUGGGAAAUUGCCCUGAUGUGGGGGAUAACCAUUGGAAACGAUGGCUAAUACCGCAUAAUGCCUUCGGGCCAAAGAGGGGGACCUUCGGGCCUCUCGCGUCAGGAUAUGCCCAGGUGGGAUUAGCUAGUUGGUGAGGUAAUGGCUCACCAAGGCGACGAUCCCUAGCUGGUCUGAGAGGAUGAUCAGCCACACUGGAACUGAGACACGGUCCAGACUCCUACGGGAGGCAGCAGUGGGGAAUAUUGCACAAUGGGCGCAAGCCUGAUGCAGCCAUGCCGCGUGUGUGAAGAAGGCCUUCGGGUUGUAAAGCACUUUCAGUCGUGAGGAAGGCGGGUACGUUAAUAGCGUAUUCGUUUGACGUUAGCGACAGAAGAAGCACCGGCUAACUCCGUGCCAGCAGCCGCGGUAAUACGGAGGGUGCGAGCGUUAAUCGGAAUUACUGGGCGUAAAGCGCAUGCAGGUGGUUCGUUAAGUCAGAUGUGAAGCCCGGGGCUCAACCUCGGAACAGCAUUUGAAACUGGCGGACUAGAGUACUGUAGAGGGGGGUAGAAUUUCAGGUGUAGCGGUGAAAUGCGUAGAGAUCUGAAGGAAUACCGGUGGCGAAGGCGGCCCCCUGGACAGAUACUGACACUCAGAUGCGAAAGCGUGGGGAGCAAACAGGAUUAGAUACCCUGGUAGUCCACGCCGUAAACGAUGUCUACUUGGAGGUUGUGGCCUUGAGCCGUGGCUUUCGGAGCUAACGCGUUAAGUAGACCGCCCUGGGAGUACGGUCGCAAGAUUAAACUCAAAUGAAUUGACGGGGGCC